CAGUUUUUAAUUUUGUAAUUUUACGAAAUAUAACAUACUUCUAAAAACACGAACGUCAAUAUGAGGAUUAUUAAAAAAAAAAAAAAAAAAACCCGUAUCUAUCUGAUAAGCCGCUGAUUGUGACCGUUACAUCUUUGGUCUCCACAGAAGAAGGGCUUAAGUCCAUUGUUGGCAAAUUUUUUUUAAAAUUAUUUUAUUUUAUGCAUUUUUAUGCCCUUGUUUGUCUGAAUGGUGUAUGUGUUCUAACAUUUAUUUCGCUUGGAUUGAAAACUAUACAAAUCGGCUUUAGCCUUUCUUCCUGGCACC